rnacentral:tRNA from 1 species
CCUUCGAUAGCUCAGUCGGUAGAGCGGGGGACUGUAGAUCCCUAGGUCACUGGUUCAAAUCCGGUUCGAAGGA